GGAUCAGCCAGGCCGCGUGGAGUGAAGAAGGCCUUCGGGUUGUAAAGCUCUUUCGGCCGGAACGAAACGGUCUCCGCUAAUACCCGGGACUACUGACGGUACCGGAAGAAGAAGCACCGGCUAACUACGUGCCAGCAGCCGCGGUAAUA
rnacentral:rRNA from 1 species